rnacentral:ncRNA from 1 species
CUUGAAAAAGGUAAACCAUUCGUGAGGAUGGGGCACAAAACUAUAGGGUCUCCUUCAGGAGACAGCCAGUUGCCAAGU